GACAGAGGUGCCGAGCGUUAGGCGGAAUCACUGGGCUUAAAGCGUGUGUAGGCGGGUCGUUAAGUGUCUUGUGAAAUCCCACCGCUCAACGGUGGAACCGCUGGGCAUACUGGCGAUCUUGAGCAGUCCAGGGGCGAGCGGGACAAGCGGUGGAGCGGUGAGAUGCGUAGAUAUCGCUUGGAACGCCGACGGUGAAAACAGCUCGCUGGGGACUCGCUGACGCUGAGACACGAAGGCCAGGGGAGCGAACGGG
rnacentral:rRNA from 1 species